GCCGGCUGGGCCGGGCCCGCGACCGGUCUGGAGGCGAGCCGGCCGGAUGCUGGCCGCGCCGAGCGGGACGUCCCGCGCCCGGCCUCCGGGUCACCGUCUGGGACUGGUCCCAUUCCCACACGGGACAUCUUCGGGUCAGCGGCGGGGUCAGCGCUUCUGCGUCCGAUCUCCCGGUGCGGGAAGUGACUGUGGCCGCCACUGGAGCCAGUAAUCCUUGCAAGUGCGUCCCGUCCAGUCGGUACGGCUGCUCCAGAGGUGCUCGUCCUACACGACGGGGAGAGCCGCAGCAUCCAUCCCGUACCCAGCGCGGGCAUGUCGAUGGCUGCAACUACCGACAUUCUUCGGAUGUGACUCGCCAGUUUCCUGAGGGUGAAUAGAGCGGCCGUAUCGGCAGCGACAAGUGCACACCGUCUGGAAUGCGUCCAGAGGUACUGCAGUUCAUUUUCCGGGCUGGUGUGGCUGUAGCCAUCGGUGGUCGAAUGCUACUGCAGCUCCGGAGUUCCACAAGCGCUGGGAGAAGAGCAUUAACGGAGUGAUGCGGCGAUACGUGUGGGUGAUGUAACGGAAGAGAACCGGACGCUGCAGCUCCAAGGAGCGUUCGGUGCUCUGCAGAAGCUGUGCAGAUAAUGCUGGCUCUACAAGGCCAGGAACUGAGAUUACACCACGUCUAAAUGAAUUGGAGGAUGGAACUGCGGCGCCAACCGGUUCUGAGCAGCAUUGUUCAACAUAUAGUUUUACGAAGGAAUCCUAAUGGCCUGAAAUCUAAGAAUUAAUGCUCCACAGCGUAGAUGUCUGCGAGAGCGGAGAGCGGAAGCCCAUUCUGAAGACAACUGUCGCCAUUGCGGACUGUUAGUUGAGAACACGUAUGUUCGGUUCCUAAACGGAAUCAAAUACUGUUCAGAAAAAUGUGUGCAUAAUUUCUCUAGUAAAGGGGAGAGAAUUUUGGGAUGAUUUGAAGAAAAAAGCUUAAGAACACGAGUUGCUUAUGAAAUUUUCAGCUCUGCUGAAAGGAUUAAUUAUUCCCUGGAACUUGAAAAUGUUUUAACUGAACCGUA